rnacentral:rRNA from 1 species
AUUGAAGAGUUUGAUCAUGGCUCAGAUUGAACGCUGGCGGCAGGCCUAACACAUGCAAGUCGAACGGUAGCGGAAAGAAGCUUGCUUCUUUGACGACGAGUGGCGAACGGGUGAGUAAUAUCUGGGAAACUGCCCGAUGGAGGGGAAUAACCACUGGAAACGGUGGCUAAUACCGCAUAAUGUCUUCUGACCAAAGUGGGGGAUCAUUUGACCUCACACCAUCGGAUGUGCCCAGAUGGGAUUAGCUUAUAGGUGAGGUAAUGGCUCACCUAGGCGACGAUCCCUAGCUGGUCUGAGAGGAUGACCAGCCACACUGGAACUGAGACACGGUCCAGACUCCUGCGGGAGGCAGCAGUGGGGAAUAUUGCACAAUGGGCGAAAGCCUGAUGCAGCCAUGCCGCGUGUAUGAAGAAGGCCCUCGGGUUGUAAAGUACUUUCAGCGGGAAAGAAAUAAAUGGAGCUAAUAACUUCAUCUAUUGACGUUACCCGCAAAAGAAGCACCGGCUAACUCCGUGCCAGCAGCCGCGGUAAUACGGAGGGUGCGAGCGUUAAUCGGAAUUACUGGGCGUAAAGGGCACGUAGGCGGACUAUCAAGUCGGAUGUGAAAUCCCUGGGCUUAACCUGGGAACUGCAUUCGAAACUGGUAGACUAGAGUUUCGUAGAGGGGGGUAGAAUUCUAGGUGUAGCGGUGAAAUGCGUAGAGAUCUGGAGGAAUACCGAUGGCGAAGGCGUCCCCCUGGACGAAAACUGACGCUCAGGUGCGAAAGCGUGGGGAGCAAACAGGAUUAGAUACCCUGGUAGUCCAUGCCGUAAACAAUGUCGACUUGGAGGUUGUUCCCGAGUGGAGUGGCUUCCGUAGCUAACGCGUUAAGUCGACCGCCUGGGGAGUACGGCCGCAAGGUUAAAACUCAAAUGAAUUGACGGGGGCCCGCACAAGCGGUGGAGCAUGUGGUUUAAUUCGAUGCAACGCGAAAAACCUUACCUAACCUUGACAUCCAUAGAAUUUUAUAGAAAUAUGAAAGUGCCUUCGGGAACUAUGAGACAGGUGCUGCAUGGCUGUCGUCAGCUCGUGUUGUGAAAUGUUGGGUUAAGUCCCGCAACGAGCGCAACCCUUAUCCUUUGUUGCCAUCGAUUCGGUCGGGAACUCAAAGGAGACUGCCGGUGAUAAACUGGAGGAAGGUGGGGAUGACGUCAAGUCAUCAUGGCCCUUAUGGUUAGGGCUACACACGUGCUACAAUGGUGUACACAAAGAGAAGCUACCUCGCGAGAGCAAGCGGACCUCAUAAAAUACAUCGUAGUCCGGAUCGGAGUCUGCAACUCGACUCCGUGAAGUCGGAAUCGCUAGUAAUCGUGGAUUAGAAUGCCACGGUGAAUACGUUCCCGGGCCUUGUACACACCGCCCGUCACACCAUGGGAGUGGAUUGCAAAAGAAGUAGGUAGCUUAACUUUCGGGAGGGCGCCUACCACUUUGUGGUUCAUGACUGGGGUGAAGUCGUAACAAGGUAACCGUAGGGGAACCUGCGGUUGGAUCACCUCCUU